ACAGCGACCGUGCGAAACAAACGAAACAGAGACCAAAGAUUCAUGCCCUGCAAAGAGACAACACAGAUUUGCCUCGGGGAUGUUCCAUUUCAAUCUGUGUUGUAAAUUGAUUUGACUGAUUGAGGAGAGAUUGGCUUACCUGAGGUCCAUCUGAUUCCGCCGUUGUCAUUGAUCAUCGGCUGCCUCGUCGGCGUCGUAUGUUACACCUGCAAGAGAGUAGGACCACAUAUAGCUGACCAUGGCUGAAGACUGGUUUAGGCAAGUAUAGAGCAACGUUUGAUAAAGUCUGGCCUUGGCUUUUAUUCACUGUCAUCGCAUAGCAAACCCGGAUUGGGAACUGGCGACGUUUCAAGGUGAAAGGGUGGUUGGAUUCUAGUGGUGACAGGAUGAUCCGUGGCAGCAGGAUAGGAUCUGUCUUCUUUGUAGCAGUUACGCAGGAGCAUGACCGGGACACCCACUUUCAGCCGGAGUUUGUGAGCUGGUAGGCCUGGGAACUCCAAGGAGUUCAGAUAUUCCAAUGGGUAGGACAUUUUGAACUCCUCUGAAUGCUGUUCAUCCUCUGCAAAGGUGUCUGCACUUAAGUAUUCUCUGUCUGGUCCAGGUCCGUGUAUUGGUUUGCAAAAUCUGGAAAAGCAGAAGAACAUAGUGUCUCCAAAGGAGUUGAAGUUCUAGGUAGGAGGACAGUGUCAUCUAAGAAUAUUUUGUCCUCUGGUGUUUCACAGUCGCCUAGGCUAUGAGGCUCACCUGCUGCUACGCCAUCACCUACCUGAAGAAUCCAGUCUGCGAACUC